AUUGGUGAUUUUAACGAGAUCUUAUUCUCGUCUGAAAAGGAAGGAGGAGCACCACGACAAUAAGUUCGGCUUCAGGAAUUCCAGGAUGCACUCUCAGAUUGAUCACUGGAAGAUAUUGGCUACCAUAGUGACAAAUUCACUUUCUUUAUAGGAGGAUUGGGGGAACGACUGGACUGGGCUGUUUCGAACGCUGAAUGGAUGAAACUACACCCAUUGUGUGGGCUGUCUAACCUUGAUAUGCACAAGUCUGACCACCGGCCAAUUUGUCUGGAUACGGAUUACUUGGCAGGGGUAGCUGCACCAUGA
rnacentral:rRNA from 1 species